CUUCAGUGUGUGAUCCUGCCCGACAUCCAUGAUGUUCUCUGUGCUGGGGUUCUCUUUCCUGGCAUGGACAGUCCUCAUCCUUCCCAUAGAGUCCCGUGUGGUGAGCCCGAAAGAUCUUUACGACCCCAAUCUGGAGGCUGAACUAGAGACACUGUGUGCGGGGUACGUGCCCCACGCCCAUGCCUUUGGCGUGGACCCCAUGGGGUUCUGGCCGCACUCCACAGGCGCUUCCCGGCCAGGCGCUUCCUCGCUCGGGCACAGCAGCGCGGGAGCCACUGCAGAGGGCUCCGCGGGCCAGGCCUCCUCCCCGGCAGGCUCGGUGAGCAGCUGCGUGGACACGCCGCCCUGGCCAUCACCCACUGCUUGUGCAGAAACAGCCGACUUAGUCGGCUCCUUCCUCCUGGAGCCCAGCUACAGGUAUGCCUUGCUCAUAGCGACCCGGCACCCACAUAAAGGCUGCAUUUUCCAUGAGAUUACAAGGUGUUUUGCAGAAGGCGCCAGGCUUUGGCGCCGGCUGUGGAGCUGCUGCAACGGCUCCGUGCACGUCCAUCCGCGUCCGUGGCCCCGAGGCUGAGGCAUUCACCUUGAGCUGGCAGGCAGCCAGCGCCGCAGACUUCAGCCCACCGUGCCUGGCGAGCAGGCCAGCCUUUCCUUGUCACGUGCUGACUCUCCUCUGCUUCGCGGGGGCACUCCCCGCAGCCCCAGUGGCCCUCUGGGUCCCACGGUGCCAUUCCCGGGCCAUGGUGUUGCACAGCACGAUGAACAUGCACAGGACUUCGGAGAGACCACUUCUUCCUGCAACGCGCAGUUUGCUGGGCAGACGGAGCGCUCGUGUGGAGAGGACCGGCGGCCGGCCGAAGGCACGCAGUCAGGACUUAACGCUGCAGCCCCACCUUGUUCCCACUGCUCUUGGCUGUGGGUGGUGCCGUGGAUGGUCUGCGGUUUUGUGUGAAAUAUUGAUACGUUUGAACUUUUUAGAGUAGAUUUGUGUGUAUUUUAUGGUAGUAAAUAAUAAAAUAGACUAGUAUCUAGAUAUAUUUUGUUAUUUUA